rnacentral:hammerhead_ribozyme from 1 species
AUCCAGGUGACGAGUCCCAAAUAGGACGAAGUGUCAAUCGUCCUGGAU